rnacentral:rRNA from 1 species
UGAGGAAUAUUGCGCAAUGGCCGAAAGGUUGACGCAGCGACGCCGCGUGAGGGAUGAAGCUUUUAGGAGUGUAAACCUCUGUUAGGAGGGAAGAAUAAUGGCAAUUCGAACAGGGUUGUCAGAUGACGGUACCUCCAGAGGAAGCCCCGGCUAACUCCGUGCCAGCAGCCGCGGUAAUACGGGGGGGGCUAGCGUUGUCCGGAAUUACUGGGCGUAAAGGGCGCGUAGGCGGGAUAGCGAGUCAGUGGUGCAAACUUGAGGCUUAACUUCAAGCUUGCCAUUGAUACUGUUAUUCUUGAGUUCGGCAGAGGGAAGUGGAAUUCCUGGUGUAGCGGUGAAAUGCGUAGAUAUCAGGAAGAGCACCGGUGGCGAAGGCGGCUUCCUGGUCCGAUACUGACGCUGAGGCGCGAAAGCGUGGGGAGCGAACA